rnacentral:rRNA from 1 species
GGAUUAGAUACCCUGGUAGUCCACGCCGUAAACGAUGGGUACUAGGUGUGGGAGGUAUCGACCCCUUCCGUGCCGCAGUUAACACAAUAAGUACCCCGCCUGGGGAGUACGGUCGCAAGAUUAAAACUCAAAGGAAUUGACGGGGGCCCGCACAAGCAGCGGAGCAUGUGGUUUAAUUCGAAGCAACGCGAAGAACCUUACCUAGACUUGACAUCUCCUGAAUAGUGCAGAGAUGCAUGAAGCCCUUCGGGGCAGGAAGACAGGUGGUGCAUGGUUGUCGUCAGCUCGUGCCG